rnacentral:rRNA from 1 species
AACGCAGCGAAGGGCGAUAAGUAAUGUGAAUUGCAGAAUUCAGUGAAUCAUCGAAUCUUUGAACGCACCUUGCGCCCUUUGGUAUUCCGAAGGGCAUGCCUGUUUGAGUGUCAUUAAAUUCUCAACCUUGCAAGCUUUUUGUUUGUGAGGCUUGGAUGUGAGGGUUUUGCUGGCUUCCUUUCAUUUGGAUGGUCUGCUCCCUUUAAAUUCAUUAGUGGGAUCCUUUGUGGAUGGUCACUUGGUGUGAUAAUUAUCUACGCCGCCUGACUCUGAAACAAGACUUGUGGGAACCCGCUUAUAACCGUCUCUUUCAGAGACAACCUUAUCUUGACAAUUUGACCUCAAAUCAGGUAGGACUACCCGCUGAACUUAA